UCUAACUGAACGUACGCAAAAUCUCUGCAACCUUUCCCAAAUUUCCUCCAAAAUCGCGAUUCUCGCUUCUAAAUCUUCGUUCGGUUUCAAUUUUCGUUUCUCCUCCUAUAAAAUUUUGUAAUGUCAAGCUUUAAUUUCGAGAAAAAAGUAUUGAAGUUUUAUGGAUAAAAAGCACACUCUUAAGCGUGCAAGACCUUUCCAUCCAAUUCCAUCUUUACCACAUGUUUUUGAUAUUGAUAUAGAUGUCAAAAAUCCGUCAGUAAAAAUAGUUGAGUCUUAUAUGAAAGAGGCUCCAAGUGGCCAUGCAAAUGGAGAAUCAUCUUCGGCAAAUAGAUCUCAACCAGUUAGUUUGGGAAGAACGCGUUCUCAAAGGGCUAAGGCACAAGAUAUAGAUGGUUCUCCAAGUUCUAAGCAACAACAAAUCGGUGUUUCUCAAAUUGAUCCGAAAAUCCCCUUAAGUGGUCAUGCAAAUGGAGAAUCCUCUUCAGCAAUGUCAAAUGGAUCUGGAGCAGCUAGUUUGAGAAGAGCGCGUUCUCAAAGUGUUGAGGAAUGCGAAAUUGGUGGUUCUCAAAGUUCUAAGCAACGAGAACUCGAUGUUUCUCAAACUGGUAUUCGUCAGAAAAAACAUGCCAAGUCCCCUUCAAAGGUGGCAGUGCUCUAUGUGAUAAACUCCUUCCUCUUUUCUAUUAAGAACCCCAAAUUGGUUCAUAGGGGUUACUUUGACUUGGUUGAGGAAGGUGAUUAUAACAAAUGUCCAUGGGGAAGAGUUGUAUACUAAGGCUACCUUGGAAUCGAUGUCUGGCAUUUUGGAUAGGCGGGCACAAUAUUAUCAGAUUUCAAGGUUUCCUCUUGCUAUUCAGAUAUGGUUAUAUGAAUGUUGUGGAUAUGUGCGUAAUAGUGUCGAGUUUUGGUGUGGGAAUAAAUAUCCACGAAUUCUUAGAUGGAAGAUCACAAGGCAGCUAAAGUUCGAGGAAUUACAUGAGAAAGUGUAUGGUUUUCCUUCUCACGAGUUGAAUUUAAGGAAUAUGUCUCUUGACGACUUAGGAGAAUGGCGCGAAAAAUAAUGUUGAUCAGAGACACUCUAGUUCACUCUAGUUCAGAUGAUGACUUUGUUGAUUAUCCACCUGAGAGCUCAAAAAGGCGGGGCAAAAGGCAGGGCAAAAGGCUGGGGAAAGUUGCAGUUGACUUGAACAAUAAGGUGGCAGAUAAUGACUUUGUCGAUCCUCCACCUCAAACAUCAAAAAUGAAAGUCAAAGCUGCAAAUGACUUGGAGAAGGAGGUGGUAGAGAAUAUUCAUGACAAACGUCAUAGUUGAGUUUAAGAUUUUGGCAGAUGGACAAUGGGAAUUGUAGAAAUAUUGACAUUGAAGAAGUAAUAUAAGGAUGAACUAGUGGUUUUAAAGACUUAUCUUGCCGAUAAAUUUAUGGAGGUGUUAGAAUCCAUUGAUUCAAUUAAGAAGAGAAAUUCAGAGAAGCAACACAACAGAGAUGUCGAAAAAGAUGGAGAUGGCGAUGGUGAUACUAAUCAGGAUGCAGUCGAUGAAACCAAAGAGAAAGAAGUGUCUGGCUCUCAAGAGGAUGCCCAUGAUAUCAAUGAAAAUGAUGGCAAUAAAAAUAAAAAUGUGAAUUUAGAAGGGAACAAGGAAGGGACUUCUGGUAUUUAACUGUAUAGUUCUAAAUUUAAUUUUUUAUGUGUAUCUUUCUGACAGUUUGAUGUAUUUUAUGCAGCACCUGGGUUAGUUGAUGUUGGAGUUGGUAAAACGACUUUAGAAAUGUGGAUGAUGAUAAGUGGUUUAAAAUGUGUGACUCGGAGGCUCAUAAAUUAACAUGUGAGCUUGGUAAACAAACCACAACUGAAUAUCUUUCAUUUUGUCAUAUGCCUAAACAGUCAGGUGAUGAAGAUGUUCCAGCUGUUGAGAUUCGUAAAGAAUCAACAACGGAAAUGUUUCUAGAUUACGAGGUUGAGAUGAGCGACUUUUAGAAUGAGUCUCAGAUUCAUAAACUAACUUCUAAGAUUGCAAACCAAUCCAUAUGUGUAGGUGUUGCAAUUUCUCUACACCAGAAGGUGUUGCAACGUCUUCUUUGUCGAUCCAGUCAACAUGUGAAGAUGUUCAACCUUAUGUGGUUUCCGAUGACUCAAAUCAAAAAGAUGCAACAAGAAUGAGAUAACCUGUUGUACCUCGUGUUCUUGUGAAAGGGGAUCACCCUUUUAAAUCCUCAAUUACAGAAGAAGUUCCUCUAUUAGUUAGUCGUGAGUUUUGUCAGUUUCUUGAAAGAAAGUUAAUUGUAACUCGCAGGAAGAAGGUGUACGAAAAGAAUGAUGAUAUAAUUGAGAAAGAGUUUGAUCUUGGAGUUGCAUACAUAGCUCAGAUGACGUGAUUUUUGAACUACACUAUGCUGGUAUAGGUAUCAGCUCGACGCACUUUGAUGUGAUAUUCUACUACUUCUGGAAGAAAGCUAAAUAUGAAAAUGUGAGGAUGACAACGACUGACAAAUUGUUUUGGUUGUAGCAUUCAAGAGUUAUUCGCUAAAUCAACUUCAAGGGGCACAAAUGUAAGAAACAAGAUGCUCGCCUUGACAAAGAAAAGUAUAUCAUUGAAGGUAAGAAGAUUCUUGCAGACAAUCACAUCUUUGAUUCUAAACAUCUUCAAACCAGAUUUGGAACAUUAGUAUACCAUUAUGGGAAGAAAAAGCAGGUGAAAAAUCUGGUUAGUAAAGAUGAAGCCAUUGGAAGAUUAGACACACCUUGUGUUUCGAAAAGGCGCAACACGAGGAGUAAGAAGUAGUUUUUUAGGUUGUAGGUGUGAGUGAUGAUGUUGAUUAAUUAGUACUCUCAUACAACUUUUUAGAAAAGUAGUAUUAUAGUUGUGAGCAGAUUACUGAUGUACUUUAGGAAAUUUCUAGUUUUUUGCUUCUGAGUAUGCUAUAUGCAAACAUCUUCUAAACUUCUUUUUAGAAAUCUUAAAUUUAGUUUUU